AGUUCGUCAGCGUACAUCGCGGUGCGUAGACGUGCGUACAUAGCGAGCACGUGAGCUUGUACACGUGAGCGAGUGAAUAGAGAGACUGAUAAAAAUACUACGAGAUCGAAUACACAUUUUACAUUGCCCGCACGCGUUUCGCAUUUCGUCAUUUAUUCGUGAAACGGCGCGACAUGAAGAUCACCGUUUAACAUCGCAGCCGAAAGCACAUUUUCCAUUGUGCCCGUGUUAGUGUCGGAUUUCUUCAGAUGCAGCCGCCGUUAGAGCACCGGAAAAGCAUGCACACAGACAAACGUUUAAUUUAUUUGUGCAGACCGUGGAUGCAGCCGAAGGCCAGCAGUGGCGGGGCCCACGCGGGCGGGACAGGUGACGAUGAGGCCCCGAAAGAUCCGGGCGCGCGGAUCACUCAUCAGUCUUACACGGAAAAGGAUUAUGAAGGUCACAGAGCGCAUACGGUGUACGUGGGCGUGCAUCUGCCGGGGGAGAGAAGACACCGUCGCCACCAUAAGCACCAUCAUUCACAACGGCAGUCAUACCCUUGCGGUAAGGAGGAUGCCGACAACGACAGGCCAAUUACUCCACCCGCCCAGAGAGUACAGUUUAUCCUCGGCGAGGAAGUUGGUGAUGAUGCACACGAAUCGCAUCCGCUCUUCUCAGAGAUGGAGGAGCUUGUCAAGGAUGGCGAUGAGAUGGAAUGGAAGGAAACGGCGAGAUGGAUCAAAUUCGAGGAAGAUGUCGAGGAAGGUGGCAAUAGGUGGAGCAAACCUCAUGUCGCCACAUUAUCGCUACACUCGCUCUUUGAGUUGAGAAGCCUUCUCUUAAACGGAACCGUCAUGUUGGAUAUGGAGGCACAGGGCUUGGAGCAGAUAGCUGAUCUCGUUUUGGAUAAUAUGGUCAAUAAAGGAGUGUUGCCGACCGAAUUGCGAGAGAAGGUGAGAGAAGCCCUCCUCGUCAGACAUCGGCAUCAGCACGAAAGACGUAAAGACAAUAACAUGUCGAAGUUACCGAUCAUACGAUCGUUAGCUGAGAUAGGACGCAAUCAUUCCUCCUCAAAGAAUUGCGACUGUUCAUGUGGUAUGCAUGCCUUGUUGACGUCAGAUUUGCAGGAGCGUCGCGAACCGAAGGACGCCUAUGUACCAUCUGUCGCCCGCAGCAGCAGUUGCCCGAACUCGAAUACGGCUCCGCUGUCGAAAGAGGCGAAAGACCUCAAAGGGCCGUACCUUCUGGUUCCAGUGGAGGAAUCGAAUUCCGCUCCCGCGAUCGCCGGCGCAACAAGUCAGGGCAGUGGAGCAGCGCUGAAUGCUGGUAGCCGCUUCCUUGCGAUACCCGGCAAUCCCGGCCAAGAACCCGGCAGCAACGGGAUAGACCGCAGCCCCAGCAGUGUGUCCAUCAGCAGAAAUCACAGUUCUUCCGCUUUGGAAAACGGAGAUGCUAAUCACAGGGGUAAUACACACUUCAUGAGGAAGAUACCAGCCGGCGCUGAAGCAAGCAACAUACUUGUGGGUGAGGUCGAUUUCCUCGACAAGACUCUGUCCGCAUUCAUUCGAUUGAGCCAAGCCGGGAUAAUGGGCGACCUGACAGAAGUUCCUGUUCCAACGAGAUUUAUCUUCGUUCUCUUAGGACCGAUGGGCGGUAUUUCGGGUUUCCACGAGAUCGGUCGAGCGAUGGCAACCUUGAUGUCCGACGAAGUCUUCCACGAUGUGGCUUACAAGGCAAAAAAUAGAAAUCACCUUUUAGCCGGUAUCGACGAGUUCUUAGACGCCGUGACGGUAUUACCACCCGGUGAAUGGGAUCCGGCGAUUCGAAUAGAACCGCCAGCUGCUAUUCCGUCGCAGGAAGUCAGAAAGAGGCCGAAGGAGGAAAAGCCUAAGGAAGAUUUCGACGAGGAAGCUGAUGAACAAAAGCUGAGAGAAGAAUCCGGUCUCGAGAGAACCGGAAGACUAUUCGGCGGUCUGAUCAACGACGUUAAAAGGAAAGCUCCGUUUUAUUUCUCCGACUUCAAGGACGCUUUGGCGCUUCAAUGCGUGGCUUCUUUCAUCUUCUUGUACUUCGCCUGUUUAUCGCCCAUUAUUACCUUCGGUGGCCUCCUCAGCGAGGCCACCGGCAAGCAUAUGGCCGCUAUGGAAUCACUAGUUUCCGGUUUCGUUUGCGGCAUAGGAUAUGGAUUCUUUUCUGGCCAGCCGUUGACUAUACUCGGUUCCACCGGUCCGGUUCUCGUUUUCGAGACGAUCGUUUACGAAUUCUGCAAGAAAGUCGAUUGGAAUUACAUGUCAUUCCGCUACUGGAUCGGAACAUGGACCGCCCUUAUUCUGAUCAUUCUCGUGGCCCUUGACGCAAGUGCUUGCGUCUGUUACAUCACCCGAUUUACGGAGGAGAACUUCGCCACGCUCAUCGCCUUCAUCUUUAUCUACAAGGCUAUCGAAAAUGUGCUGUCAAUCGGCAAGAAGUAUCCCGUGAACACCUAUCCUAACGAAAUGUUGGGCUACAAUUGCUGGUGUAAACCACCGAACAUCACUCUGCCAUCCAGUUAUAAUAACAUGAAUUGGACGACGUUGGAGAAGGAAGCCUGCGAGAGCUACAACGGCACGAUGGUAGGCGACGACUGCAAUGCACCGCAUUAUGUACCCGAUGUGUUCCUUAUGUCAAUUAUCCUAUUCAUGGGUACGUUCUUACUGUCGGUGGAACUCAAAGAUUUCAAGAACGCUUUAUUCUUCCCCUCGAAGGUGAGGCAAGUGGUGAGCGACUUUGCAGUGAUAAUCGCGAUAUUCUCAAUGAGCUCACUGGAUCACUUCGUGGGGAUUCCAACGCCGAAAUUGGAGGUGCCGGCAGAGUUCAAACCGACAUUGGAGGGACGAGGAUGGAUAAUCUGGCCUUUUCAGAAGAAUCCGUGGUGGAGUGCUAUUGUGGCGUUUCUCCCCGCUUUAUUGGGCACUAUAUUGAUCUUCAUGGAUCAGCAGAUCACGGCCGUUAUUGUUAAUAGGAAAGAAAAUAAGUUGAAGAAAGGAUGCGGGUAUCAUUUGGACCUCUUCGUUUUGGCCAUCCUAAUUGAAAUAUGUUCAGUGAUGGGACUUCCAUGGUUCGUCGCAGCGACGGUCCUUUCCAUAAAUCACGUGAACUCGUUGAAGUUGGAAUCCGAAUGCGCCGCGCCGGGCGAGAAGCCGCAAUUUUUAGGCGUCCGCGAGCAGAGAGCUACUCAUAUAUUAAUUUUCCUGAUGAUCGGAUGCUCGGUGCUCCUAACACCGAUGCUGAGGAAUAUACCGAUGCCGGUACUGUUUGGCGUCUUCCUGUACAUGGGCGUCGCCUCGUUGAAGGGUCUCCAAUUUUUUGACAGGAUUCUAAUUAUGCUGAUGCCCGUUAAAUAUCAACCAGACUACAUGUUCCUCCGCCAAGUACCGUUGAAACGUGUACACAUGUUCACUGCAAUCCAGCUUACUUGCCUCGCCUGCUUGUGGCUCAUAAAAUCCUUCAGUUCUACCUCGAUUCUGUUCCCCUUAAUGCUUGUCGUAAUGAUCGGCAUACGCAAAUCUCUGGACUUGAUAUUCACCCAACGCGAACUGAAAAUCCUCGACGACGUAAUGCCGGAACCGAGCAAGAAACACGCCGAGGAGCUCCGUAAGCUGGAGAACGGCGAGGAGCAGACAAUGGGAUAUGGGCCUCCGGGAAACAUUCAGAUCUCUUUGGCCAACGGGAAUAUUAUGAAGAUCCCUCUUGCGAGUAUCAAUAUCAGCGAGGAAGUGAAUAAAACUGGCAUUUGGCAGCAGGUCAACGAGGGAAACGAAAAAUCGAAACAAUCAAAAUCACUAAUCAAGCAAUGUGGGAAAACAAAAGAAGCAUCCAAAGAAAGACAACUCGUUAGUAGCCGACGAAACAACAAGGCUGACGACGAUGACCGAAGAGGACGAGGAUGACAGUGGGAUCUCGAUCAAGGUGACACACGUAAAUGACUCUAAAUUCUAACUACCAUCACCAUCACGAAUAACCGACAAUUCAUAUGGCAAGACACACAGCAAGAGCACCAAUACACCGGCAUGCAACAUACCCCAUGCACCGCUGUAGAUUUAAUACGAUCAAAGGAAAGCAUCAGUCCCUUAAAAGCAAAUGGUACUACCUCAGCUGAAACUUCCGUUUAACAAGAAGAUAAGAGAAAUGAAUGUACGCUAAAGCAGCAUACAAGUUUCUUUACAUCAAUCAUUUCAAUAUCUCGAUGAACUGUUUCCUUUUCUACCGUUUCUAUUUUUAUCUUAUGAAUUGCCAUUCAAAUGACAAAAAGUGAUAAAUCAUAUCAUAUUUCUUCAAAACGUUCAUCCUGAUCAAAAAUAAUAUCUACUAUCAUUUAUCUUAAUCUUAUUCUCUUGUAUUAUAUUUGUACUAUAUUUAGCGAACAAUGCGCCACGUGCUCUUAGCGAAUACCCCACAAUUUAUACUCAACUGUAUAAAUGAGAUUCACCGUGCACAGUCUCAAUCUGUAUAUAAAAACAAUUCAGCAAGAUUCGUCAAUAACGUCCAAUUGUGAUUUCAUGAAGCCUCUUUUUUCAUCCCCAGGAUAAGGUAAUGGUACGCGUUGCAUUUCGAAUUGCGGCAGAUUCGUAUAAAAACAACUUUAAAAGUAUGCAAAAACAAAAGAAGCAAAUAUAUCUUUUAAUGGCUAUUUAUGCAAUUCUUCGUUAAUAUUACGCGUGAACUGAUGAUGAGAAGAACAAAAGAAGACGAUUCUAAAAUAUUUAAAAAAAAAUGCUUUAAAGUAAUAGAGAUGUAGUAGUUACAUGUUUUUUACGUUUAGUAACGACGGCAAAUACAAAAAAUGCGCAUUUAAAAAUCCGCUACAUCUUUUUUAGAUGUAUCGAUAUUGAAAAAUCAUUAAAAAAACGCACACUUUUCCAAAUCGCAAUAUAAUAUGGCAUUUAAAAUAUAAACGCAAACUACAAAAUAAAAAUUGAGUUCUUAAACGCAUUUGAAAUUACUCAAGCUUUGUCGUAUUCAAAUAUUCGAAUAAUUAAAAUUGAAAUAUUCUUAUGAGCAUAUAUAUAUAUAUAUAUAAAGCGAAUGAUAAUAAAUGACAGCAAUAACAUUUAUUGUCGCUAGUAGCAUUGCGUAGAUAAGUAUUCGAGUGUGUGCAAUUGAAGUUAUUCGAAUACUUGAACAGUGACAGCUGUAGUUUUAAGUUCGUCGUAUCAAUUUCAAAUUUAUAUGAUGUGAAUCAUAGAAAAAUGAGCAAGAAUAUCGUAUUGUCGUAUAUAUGAUUCUGCAUGUAGCGACUAAGUAGUUAAAGUAACUUUAUAAUCGUACUAUGCCAAAGAAACCCCACGAUAUAUACGUGUCGAUAUUUCCUUCGAGGGAUAUCCUGCAAGUUAUUACUAGCAAACGUUGCAAGCAACUGAAUGCAUGUUAAAAAAAGACAAAUCUGACAAAUGCUGCUUGUUAAGAAAAUUGUGUUUUUCAAUAUUGUUCAUUUUCUAAUAAUAUUAAUUCGAUACCUUGGAGUAAGAAUUGUCGAAGUAAUUUUGUAAUUCAAAAAAAUAUAAAUAUUCGUCCUCUAAAAUCAUAAAAUAAUCAUAAAAUAAUAUUAACUCUUCUCGUUUCAAAAUACUAAUAUCUCGCUAAUUUUACAAGAGUAAUUUUA